AUCACAGCCCACAUAUACAGACAGAGGUGGGCAUCAGAGUUGAUUUAUGUCUCAUCCAUCAAACUGAAAUAAAUGCUAUUCCAUGGAAAUGAAACCAACACUCACAGACUGAGGUAGUAAAUUCCCUUGCUGAAACCUGACUGAGCGGUGCUCCCAUUUGUCACUUCCCCCUCUUGUCUGAAGGUGACACUACACCCUGCCACAAGCAGCUGGCAGCCUCUUCCAGUGACAUCUUGGACCGUAAGUGGAUUAAGACGCAGCCUUGUCAGCCCCCAUAUCUCAGGAUGCUCCAGGUGGGUAAUGAGCCUGGACAAAGAACAGGC
rnacentral:lncRNA from 1 species